CAGCUUUAGGGUUUCAAUUUGGUAUCCAAAGAUUCAAUAGGGAAACUUCCUGGAAAUGCUUUUUGUGCUCAGAAUUGGGUUGUCCUGUUUGAUGCUACAAUUAGAAACGUGAAUUUCUUGUAACAGGGAGGUUGUGGAUGAGGUUGAGGUUCAAGGGUUUGGUUGCAGAAGGUUCUGCUGUUGUUGUUGCUGCAUCUGAGAUAACAUAUGUGAUAACCACCGUCUGUCCAACUUCAAGGCCGUUUAAUCCAGCAUGUACAUUGAUCGAAUUUGUGCAGAAAACAGCCAACAGCCCCAUGUAUAGUUUAUACAUCCAUCCAAGAUCCAAAAUCUCUAUGCCAAUAUGUGGUACAAGUGGUUUCGGUAUAACUAUAGUUGUGUGUCCAGCAUAUGCCAUUAACAAAGGAAGUACAACAAUUGAUGGUAGUAAUAAUUUUACUCUUCAAGGGACAUCAAGGACAUCAUCGACAAAUCCAAACAAU